GGGCAGCAUUUGGGCGUCUGGUAGGGAGAUCAUGGCCACUCUCUUCCCAAACGGUAUCCUGUUUGAUGGGAUAGUUUAUCGCAUCCUCCCCGGGGGCUAUGCUGUCAUUGAGAAGCGUUCCCUCCAGUCUGUGAGGGGAAUAUUUCAGCGCCUCUUCUCCUCUUCCUCAACCAGCCAGGCUGAAGCUCAGGAAUCCACCCCACCUCCACUCACUGACACCAUGUCCUCAGAGGAGAUCAAAGCCUGGGAAGAAGAAGAGUUGGAUAAGCCAAUCAGUAUGGAGGAGAUAUGGAUUGAUCCUUCCACCUUUCAACUGGUGGAGAGAACCCCCCUUCACAAGACCCACACUUUGUUCUCCUUGCUGGGUCUCAGUCAUGCCUAGGUUACCAGCAUUGGGAAACUGGUGGGAGUCGUAGUUGCAGGCCAUCGAGGGCUCCACCCUUAGUGGGGUGAGAUUGCGCCC
rnacentral:lncRNA from 13 species